AGAGUUCAAGAGUACGUGAAACCGUUCAGGGGUAAACGGGAGAAAUCCUGAAUUCGAAAGGGGACGGAUUCAAUUCCCUACCGUGUACAUAACAGGACGUGCCUGCCAGAUGGUGCUGGUCGCCCGCGGCGAUUCAUUUCGCUUGUGGUGUCGUUCCCGGCAAUCACUCGGCAUGGUAUGUUUGACCUGGUGCCGGAGGAGUGCACUUCCCCCCUAGUAGAAACGUCGCGACCCGUUGGGUGCCGGUCAAAGGCCCGGGAUGGCAGCCCGUGUGUCCUGUGGGGGAUCUCACAGGCACGUGGACUCUCGGUGACCCGGCCGGCUGCCCGACGGUAUGACCAGAGGAGUCGAUCCGCUGAAAGUGAAACACUGUGGUUGUGUAGCGUCCGGCCCGGCGCCGAUGCGUGUGGGGAUUGAGGUGUAAACCGGGGGUGCCCGUGCGAAGCACGGCCCCGGCCCCACUGCGUGUUCGGAUUGUUCGGUGUCCUCGGACUGGAUCAGCACUCCCGUCUGCGACGCCCACCUUCGGAUGGUCUCCG
rnacentral:rRNA from 1 species